CUACCUUAGAAGGUCAUGUAGUAUCUUAGUAAAAAAGCAACCUGUUCUGGUGCAUGGCUCGCCAGUUAUUGCUGUGCUUUACAGGUGUUAGCAAAAACAGUCUAGAUCUUUCCAUCCCUGCCUCUGAUAUUAGGAGGCUAGGUUAGGCCCAUGCCACCAAGCUCCUCAGCAAACUGCUUUCUGGCCACUCUAGCUCCUAAACUCAGGGCUAAGCUGCUGUUCAGGAAAGAUCUAAGAAAUUUAUUGAAGAUAUUUCCAUAAGAGG